GACCAUAGGCGUGAUCAUCGUCAUCGUCAUCUUCGUCAUUGUUUUCAUCGUCAGAGCCUUCGAGAUGAAACACAAAGCUACGAGGAUAAGAGAAACGCACAACGAUUCCACGCGACGUCCAGGCAGCGAUGCUGAUGAUGAAGCCAACUACGAAGACCCGGAGGACGCUUGGCCCGGUGCAGAAAAAAUCAACCAACUCGUUUCGCAAUGCGACCUGCCGGGGACCGCCUCGUGCCAUGACCAGG